rnacentral:rRNA from 1 species
UACGUAGGGGGCAAGCGUUAUCCGGAUUUACUGGGUGUAAAGGGAGUGUAGACGGAACGACAAGUCUGAAGUGAAAGCCCGCGGCUCAACCGCGGGACUGCUUUGGAAACUGCCGAUCUAGAGUACUGGAAGGGUAAGCGGAAUUCCUGGUGUAGCGGUGAAAUGCGUAGAUAUCAGGAGGAACACCGGUGGCGAAGGCGGCUUACUGGACAGCAACUGACGUUGAGGCUCGAAAGCGUGGGUAGCAAACAGG